CAAACUUAAGUUAAACAACACACAUACAUCGUCACAUAAGCCGGGGUGCUGAAGCUCGCUUCAGUCGGAUCUAUGGGAUGUAUGGAGGCCUAAC
rnacentral:sRNA from 1 species